UGGAUCCUUAAAAAUCCUUUAAG
rnacentral:tRNA from 1 species